CAGCAGCCGCGGUAAGACAGAGGAUGCAAGCGUUAUCUGGAGUGAUUGGGCAUAAAGUGUCUGUAGGUGGCUUUUCAAGUCCGCCGUCAAAUCCCAGGGCUCAACCGUGGACAGGCGGUGGAAACUACCAAGCAGGAGUAUGGUAGGGGCAGAGGGAAUUUCCGGUGGAGCGGUGAAGUGCGUUGAGAUCGGAAAGAACACCAGUGGCGAAGGCGACUCUCUGGUCUGUAACUGACGCUGAGGAGCGAAAGCGUGGGGAGCGAACAGGAUUAGAUACCCCAGUAGUCCCUGUCUCUUAUAC
rnacentral:rRNA from 1 species